GUGGCAGAGCCAAAAAUUGAGUUAAAGCUGGUUUGAGUAGUCACCAGUUCCAUCAUCAUCAUGUUCAUGCAUGUCGGAUGUACCUUGCAAAUAAGGAGAAACAACAAAUUAGUAGAACAAAUUCAAGCAGCAACAAAGAAUAAUGUCCGGUUUGUGAAGUUACUAGUUGCAGCUUUGUCAAUUGUACUUGCAUCGGUUUCAUGAGGUGCAUCUUUGUUCUUAUUCUUCUUCGCUGCCACUCUACGGUCUCUGUUUUUAUGAUUUUUCUUUUUCUUCUUCUUG